AAUGACUUUGUUUUAUUCUGGAAUCAAGAGUCUGCUAGUAUGAUUUACUGGUGUGCAAAACAGUUGUGCUGGGUGGCAGCAAGACUUGACCAGAAGUGCUCUUCUCUAAACGAUAUGCAAAGUGAGGGAAGGACAGGAGGAAUGCCACAAGCAGAUCUCCCUUUCAUGCUCUGGCAGGGGACUGCUGUUCCAGUCUCUCUUGUCCAGCUCCUGCUGCAAGCAAGGUGAUCUGUGGAGUGACCUGCCAAAAGGCACCAAGGCUGCAGGGAAGAGGGCCAUGGCCAGAACGGCUGUACCUUCAGCAGCACACAGCCCUGGCAGCAGCCAUUCACAGUGGGAUAGAUCUCCACCCAGGUGAAUGGUACUGCUGGCUGAGGUGACCUGAGAGCCAGGGUGUUAGCUUCUGCCCUUGGGCUGUGCUGCAUCUGCCUCGCAAUGGCUCACCUGCUCAGCCAACCCCAAGCCCUGUUAUGCCCUCUGAGAACCCCUCUCCUUCCCUGCCUGCAGAGCAGCUGCAUGCCAAACCACCACACUGUGCCUCACUGCCUUUCUUUAACUCCUUAACCUGCCUCACCCCCAAAGCACUGCUCAAAGCAGCAGCCUCCCUUAGCAGCUUGGUGACCUUGGAAGACCGCUCAGCAAUUGGGAAAUGGCAUUGGAUCACCUUAAAAACUGAAUCUCUGCUGCUUACAACUUCUGUUUUAAUUGUUGGUAACAUUGUAUUGUAUAGAGCAACUACGAGAAGUGCCAGAGGAGGCUGUAGCUGUAAAAUGGCAGUUUCUCAUAGAACAGAUACAGAGUUGUUAAAAGGAGCAGUUUCUCAAGUCAGGCUAUGCUCACAGUCAUUCUAAGAGUUUGCACUGACUGAUGGGCAGAAAAUGAAGAAGAGAGGAGGAAGGCUGGAGUUUGGUAUUAAGCAGGAAAGGGCAGCCUGAAACUUGGGUAUAAGGGAGAUAGAUGGGCAAGGGGCUCCACCGUGUGGAUGCAAUUCAGCAGUGCCUGACAAUUGCAAACUGCAGGGAAGUGAAAAUGGAGUUUGCACAUUGACUACUGUGAAGAAGAACCUGCUGCAGGAGCACUGUGCCUCACGGAGGGGAAAGGCCACUUGUAGUACUUGCACAAAAGGGAAAAACAAGUCUGAAUCUUCGGUGGGCUGAGCUGGCAGGGAAAACAAACCAUGCUUUAAGGAACUUUUCUAUGUAACGUUUAGCAAAUGAAUGGCACAAGAUCCAUGUCAGUAAUUUUACUUCAACAGGAGUUACGAAUUCAAGAGAUGAAAAUUAAGAUGCACCUGUCCUUUGCAUGAACUGCUUUACAAUUAGACAAUGAUAGUUCUGAUAUGGUAGAGGAAGAAAGAAUAGAGUGGGAAGGCAGAGGAACUGAGUUUUCUUUGCUAAGCUGUGAUGAAAAAGAAAGCAUCUGCUUGAAUCUAAGCCCUGCCAGGAUGGCUGAGCUGUCCUUGGGUAUGAGCGCAUGGGCUCACUUGCAUCAGAGGAGGCUGAUAAGGCUUUUACAGCACAAGUAGUACCCAGAACUGUGACUCCUUGUAGACUGUCAUUGGCUGAAUCAUACUGUGACAGCAGGAACAGAGGGCUGGGCAGAGAGGUGAGCAUGUAAAGGAAGACAAGGGAAGAUUACAAAAAGUAAAACCUUCACCUGUAUCUCCACCUCAGGAAUUUCCAGUUUAAAGGCUCGAGAGGAGAAGACCAGCACCUGUUCAUGGAUCCUCAUUAAGGUACUGUAAACAUUAUCUAGCUCAGUUAGAAAAAGAUGCUUUCAGCUCAGGUAUCUAUGGCAUUCUAAAGUUUGCAUCCAAAAGAUGCUCACUACCCCAUUACAGUGUGUACUGCUGUGCUUUACCUCUCAAAACAGUCUUUUUUGGGGUCGUAAUUCCAUGGCACAUCUUCACAUACUGAAGGUUUUAGAAUCGCAGUGCUGUUUCUCUACAUGUUUAACAUAGACAACAUGUCACUUUAAUGACAACAGGAACUGGAUCUCAGGAACUUGUCACAAAGAAGCAUUGCUUUAUUGUGCAAACUUCUCAGUGUCAUUUGCCCUGCUAGUUACAGGAGCAUGCUAAGAUUUUCCCUUUUAAUUAGCAGUAAGCGUGUUGUCACAAGGUUGCACAUGCCAACACAAAACUCCUCCUUCCCAGCACUCCCAUGGGGAGCAUCUUGUUACAUCCCAGCCAACACAACUCUCACUGCUGACCACUUACUUCAGGCAGACACAAGACACAAAAAAGGCAAUGCUGGUGGCAUUCCUUGUCCAUUUUAACUAGCUGUAGGUACAAGUGACCACAAGAGGGCAAGAAGCAGAAUGUAGCAAAGGGUGCAGUUACAUUUAUAAGACUUGCAACCCUCGCUUUUCAGUACUGCCCUAAAGAUGAAAAUGGAACAUGGGCUAGUUCUCAGCUGAAUGUAAUUUAUUGCACAUUUUACACUUAGUAUCAGAUAAACAGAACAUAAGUUGUAUGUGAAAUGAAGUCCUACAGGGGAAGCAGCUCACAACUGAAGAGUUUUGUUAUAAUUUUAAAGAGUGAACACUCAGGUUUAUGAACUUGUUUUGGAGUGAAAAGUUUCUUGCAGCCUAGCUCAGUUCAGUCUGGUUUUGGAAACUUCAUUGUCCUGUUAAAGUUACUUGCAGUUGAGCAGAGAGAACUACAGUUAAGAAGAAAAAGGGAUCAGGUACAUGUCAGGAAGCGAUUUAUGAUAAUAGCAACAAUGUGCAGCCAAGAUCCUUUGUUUCCUGUCUCACCCACAUAAGCAAUGGAGGCUGCCCUAGGACUCACUGAGAGCCAUGACUCAGAAACAGCUUGAUUAUUCCUUUUCUCUGUAAAGAAAAUCCAGAACUCCCACCAAAACUUUGGCAGUAUUGACAUACACAGCAAUACCACAUGGCUGCCAUUUCCAUCUGCUGAGGCACUAGAACAGGACUGCCCUUUCUGCUGGUAACUCACUAGCAUGGCUUCCAUGCAGGACAAAUCCAAGAGUUAUGUCACAACUGAUGUUGCAUUCAGCUGCCACUUCUGAUGCAGCGCUUUCAGCUCUUUACCCCGUUUUGCACCUCUCCUCACUUUGGUCUGGUUUACUCAUAUGAACUACACUCCUUUUUUUCCUAGAAGUAAGAUUAAUUGCUGUCCUUCUCCCUGCUUUGCUUUCCUGAACACCUUGGCAGGAAAAUGAAUUAAUAAGACAAUUAUACCCAGUGUCCUUGUCUGGUACAGCAGUGUUUGAAAUGAGCAGCUGCAUGGAUUCAUAGGGAAGAGGUCCGUGUUAUUACAAAAAGCAAAGAACUUUGUUCCAGACAUACUUGUUCUUAACAAGUGCAUUUCAAAUACAGAAUUAGGAUGGAAAACAAUCUCUGCCCUCUUUCCAACAAAAGGAUUUACACAGAAAAAUUCCAGGAGGUGGCCUUAACAUGGAGAAUUUUCACUCAGGAGUAGAAAAAGGCAUGUUACCUACCCCAGUAAGUACACGGAGAAGUAAGAACAAGUCUUCUUUCUUGCUGAGUGCAGCAGGCUAUGCGAGACUGCACAGAUGGACUGGGCCAAAUUGCUGCAGGAAAGAUUUGGCUGCAUGAUGGGUGGUGCUCAGAGCCCGCUCACACAACCUCAGCAGAAAGUACUGCACAUUUAGAGUCACGUUGCUUUAUUUUGAUUACUGAGCCACAAUUGAGAAGUAUUGCUUUGGAGCCACCUCAGGAAGCGGGUUCUCUCAUUUUUUGAUCCUAACAUAACUGGUAGGCCACCACCUGCUAUAUAGAUAAUAAAAAUAAAAAUGUCUCUGUUCAAGCUUGUAGCAUCUGGGGGAAGGUUUGGCUGUCUCCAUUGACCCAGGUACUGUAACAGACGUGCAUGCUCUCAUCAGAUUAGCCAUCUGCAUCGAUUCUGUGAGAUUGCUUUGGUAUCCUAAGGGCCUCAUUGUCAGCUGACAUCACUUGGUGCAGAACUCCCCGGAACUGAUAAAGCACUUUCAAACUCUUCUCCUCACCCACACAGGGGUCAUAGAAACCUGGCAACCCAACCUUGGAUGCCUCUGUAAGGAUGAGCUUAGAGUCCUUCACUAAGCACUGCAAGGGCACAGUCACAUCUAUUACUUUCACCUUCUCGUUCUUCCUGCUGUUGUCAUUAACGAAUUUCCCAUACCAGGCAUUCACUACAAUCAGACCCAUUCUUGCUUCCUCUGCUUCAAUUAUCCUCCGGACAGACUCUUGCAUCAACCUAACUGCAGCUUCUGCCUCUUGCUUCUUCUGAAGGAUGUCACUGGCAGUACUCUCCCUUUGCUUCUCCAGUUCUCUCUCCUUUUGUGCCCUGAGGUAGGGUUUGAUGAUUAGCCUGUGCAUGGCAAAGUAGAUAACUAGGGGUCCCACAGUGGCAUAGAAUACAGCACUGGGAAGCAGCUGAUCUGUUAGGUGGACAGGGAAGAAGUAGGUCUGACUAGCCCUGUUCAACUUGAUUUUCAAAGACACUCCUUGGGGAACACCAACACUGACGGUGGCUCCUAAAAUACUGUGUCUGGAAAUCUUCCUCUCCGCUCCGUACUCCACUAUGGUCCCAAAGAACCCUGCCUUGAGAGAACCUUUUAUCCGUGUCUGAUCCUCAUCCUGAAACUUAUGCUGAUAACUGACCAUCAUGAAAGAAUGGGGGAUUCCUAGCUGCAACGCCACAGUGAAAUGGCUGGUUUUCGUGUCACGGACAAUGCUCGUGUUCAUGGCUGACUGGAUGCCCCACCGCCACUGUAAGUACCCCAUCGUGUUCUUAUCGAGGUUACGGGCCAGAACUGUGGUGAGACCUGGGCGGACCCCACGGGAUGAAAACUGCAGAGCACAGUUUGUAGUGAUGAAACAUCUUGGUGUAAGAUUACGGAAUAUCUUCAGACCAAAGAGAGGUCCCUGAAGGUCUCCUGCUCCAAACUCCAAC
rnacentral:lncRNA from 1 species